AGAGCGAACGCUGGCGGCAGGCCUAACACAUGCAAGUCGAGCGCUCCGCAAGGGGAGCGGCAGACGGGAGAGUAACACGUGGGAACGUACCCUUCAGUUCGGAACAACCCAGGGAAACUUGGGCUAAUACCGGAUACGUCCGUAAGGAGAAAGAUUUAUCGCUGAAGGAUCGGCCCGCGUCUGAUUAGCUAGUUGGUGAGGUAACGGCUCACCAAGGCGACGAUCAGUAGCUGGUCUGAGAGGAUGAUCAGCCUCACUGGGACUGAGACACGGCCCAGACUCCUACGGGAGGCAGCAGUGGGAAUAUUGGACAAUGGGCGCAAGCCUGAUCCAGCCAUGCCGCGUGGGUGAUGAAGGCCCUAGGGCUGUAAAGCCCUUUCGGCGGGAAGAUAAUGACCGGUACCGCAGAAGAAGCCCCGGCUAACUUCGUGCCAGCAGCCGC
rnacentral:rRNA from 1 species